GCUUCCUUACUGCAGCUUGUUUUGUAAACAAGGUCUUUAUGACACGUAUCUUGUGCUGACCCCCAUCUCAUCCUGUGACUUAAGAGCGCCUGACUUCCUGGGAAUGCAGCCCAGGAGGUCUCAUCCUCAUUUCACUCAGCCCCUAUUCAAGACGGAGUUGCUCUGAUUCAAACACCUCUGAAGAGUUAAUUUCUUUAAACCUGAGGAAAAAAAAAUUGCAGAUGAAGAAAUGACAUCAAGAGAAGUUAAGCCACUGUUGAAGGUGAUAUAUUUAGCAAAGAGGAGAGUCAGUUUUUAAACAAGGCAGGUUGACUCCCUGGUCCAUCGUUUUAAGCACCAUGUUAUAUCACUGCUCAUAUGUCUUACCUACCUCACAGGGUGAAAACACUUCAAAAUGCUAUGUUAACAUAAGGCAGUAGUCAAGCAACUAGUUUACUUCAAACUUGUUCGGGAUAUUCACAAGAAAACCAGAUCACUUCAUGUUUAGUACCAGCCUAUUUUCUCUAAUUGUUGUAACUGAGUGAGCACAAAAUCAUCAGAGACAAAGAAUAGACCAAAUUAUGGGGUCUUUAUUGCCAGCAGCCACAGAGGAUUCACGUCUCUCUAACUCAUGGCUCCGAAAGGAGGGUGUCGACCUUUUAUGCCCGUAAAGCACCUCCUAGGCGGGGGCGAGGGCGAGGGGCUUUGGACAUUCCGAUUGUUACUUAAGUGGUUCACAGAAGUCAAGCAGGAACGAUCACUUCUGAAGGACCAAGGAAUGCCAGUGAUGAUGACUUCGGAUGAUGAAGAGAAGAGCCAGGAAGAACACGUUGUCAACACUUCUUUCUGUGGUGCUGAUUUUUCUCUCCAGCAAAACAGCUAACUGCAGCCCUCUGUAGCCCCUGUUGCUUUGCUCCAUUUUGCCACUGGAGGGAGCCAAGUUUGUGCAGGAUGCAAUUAGAAGAGCUGGAUUUGGUAUCUCUUGUAAACGUUCAUGGGUCAUUUAACCUCACUGGGCCUCAAUUUCCAUAUUUACAGAAGGAGACAUUGAUGAUACCAGCUUCAGAAGGCUGUGAGAAGACCUAUAAGACUUUGUAAAGACCUACAUCAAAGUCUGUUUUUCAAUGGUGGCUGCUAGCUCUGUUUUUAAAUAAUACCUUCUAUUCCUCUCCCUUCCUAUUCACCCCUCUAUCCCUGCCUUUCCCUCAAAGCCCUGGUUACCAAACUAUCAGAUUAUUUCAUGUACACUUAGCAUGUGCUGGGUGAUAUUCAUGGGGCUAGAAAUACAGCAAAAAAGGAAGCAGACAAAACUCCUUGUAAUUGUGGAGUUAACAUUUUAGAGUGUGAUAAAAGCUGACCCUUGCUGAAUUCUUCCAAUCUGCAGAGACUCUCCUAAAUGUUUUAAUUCUAUUUACUCCUUUCUUCCUUUCAACAACUUCAUGAAUGAGAUGUAAUCACCAGGAAUGUGAUGAGGUUUUGGUGAGAGCGGUGGUAAUAAAGAGGACUCAUUAGACUAUCUAAUGCCGAAC
rnacentral:lncRNA from 13 species